UACGGAGGGUGCAAGCGUUAUCCGGAUUCACUGGGUUUAAAGGGUGUGUAGGCGGGCUAUUAAGUCAGCGGUGAAAUCUCCGGGCUCAACCCGGAAACUGCCAUUGAUACUAUUAGUCUUGAAUAUCGUUGAGGUUGGCGGAAUAUAUCAUGUAGCGGUGAAAUGCAUAGAUAUGAUAUAGAACACCGAUUGCGAAGGCAGCUAACUAAGCGAUGAUUGACGCUGAGGCACGAAAGCGUGGGGAUCAAACAGG
rnacentral:rRNA from 1 species